GACGAACGCUGGCGGCGUGCUUAACACAUGCAAGUCGAACGGAAAGGCCCUGCUUUUGUGGGGUGCUCGAGUGGCGAACGGGUGAGUAACACGUGAGUAACCUGCCCUUGACUUUGGGAUAACUUCAGGAAACUGGGGCUAAUACCGGAUAGGAGCUCCUGCUGCAUGGUGGGGGUUGGAAAGUUUCGGCGGUUGGGGAUGGACUCGCGGCUUAUCAGCUUGUUGGUGGGGUAGUGGCUUACCAAGGCUUUGACGGGUAGCCGGCCUGAGAGGGUGACCGGCAACGUUGGGAUUGGGGAGCGGCCAAACGCCCACGGGGGGGCGGAGGGGGGGAAUUUGGAACAAGGGGCGGAACCCGGAACCAGCAACGCCGGGGGCGGGAGGCCGGCCUAGGGGUUGUAACCCCCUUACGCCGGGGAAGAAGCGGGGGUGACGGUAAGGGGUAAAAAAGCCCCGACUAACUACGUC
rnacentral:rRNA from 1 species